AGCAGCCGCGGUAAUUCCAGCUCCAAUAGCGUAUAUUAAAGUUGUUGCAGUUAAAAAGCUCGUAGUUGAAUUUCGGGGUCAGUAGGUUGGUCAUGCCACAGGUAUGUACUGAUCUUACUGAUUCCUCCUUCCUGAUGAACCGUAAUGCCAUUAAUUUGGUGUUGCGGGGAAACUGGACUGUUACUUUGAAAAAAUUAGAGUGUUUAAAGCAGGCUAACGCUUGAAUACAUUAGCAUGGAAUAAUGAAAUAGGACGUUCGAUCCUAUUUUGUUGGUUUCUAGGAUUGACGUAAUGAUUAAUAGGGAUAGUUGGGGGCAUUAGUAUUCAAUUGUCAGAGGUGAAAUUCUUGGAUUUAUUGAAGACUAACUACUGCGAAAGCAUUUGCCAAGGAUGUUUUCAUUAAUCAAGAACGAAAGUUAGGGGAUCGAAGACGAUCAGAUACCGUCGUAGCCUUAACCAUAAACUAUGCCGACUAGGGAUCGGAUGAUGUUAAUUUUUUAAUGACUCAUUCGGCGCCUUACG
rnacentral:rRNA from 1 species